GUUGUAUGGUUAAGUGACUAAGCGUACACGGUGGAUGCCUUGGCAGUCAGAGGCGAUGAAAGACGUAGUAACUUGCGAUAAGCCCAGAUUAGGUAGUAACAACCAUUUGAGUCUGGGAUUUCUGAAUGGGGAAACCCACUUACAUAAGUAAGUAUCAUUAACUGAAUACAUAGGUUAAUGAGGCGAACCGGGGGAACUGAAACAUCUAAGUACCCCGAGGAAAAGAAAUCAACCGAGAUUCCGAAAGUAGCGGCGAGCGAAAUUGGACUAGCCCUUAAGCUUUACACGCGUUAGACGAACGGUCUGGAAAGUCCGACGAUACAGGGUGAUAGUCCCGUAGUUGACGACGUGUGUUCAGUGAAAUCGAGUAGGGCGGGACACGUGAUAUCCUGUCUGAAUAUGGGGGGACCAUCCUCCAAGGCUAAAUACUACUGACUGACCGAUAGUGAACCAGUACCGUGAGGGAAAGGCGAAAAGAACCCCUGUGAGGGGAGUGAAAUAGAACCUGAAACCGUGUACGUACAAGCAGUAGGAGCAGGCUUUGUCCUGUGACUGCGUACCUUUUGUAUAAUGGGUCAGCGACUUAUAUUCAGUGGCAAGGUUAACCAUCUAGGGGAGCCGUAGGGAAACCGAGUCUUAACUGGGCGUUCAGUCUCUGGAUAUAGACCCGAAACCAGGUGAUCUAGCCAUGGGCAGGUUGAAGGUUGAGUAACAUCAACUGGAGGACCGAACCGACUAAUGUUGAAAAAUUAGCGGAUGACUUGUGGCUAGGGGUGAAAGGCCAAUCAAACCUGGAGAUAGCUGGUUCUCCCCGAAAGCUAUUUAGGUAGCGCCUCGGACGAAUACUACUGGGGGUAGAGCACUGUUAAGGCUAGGGGGUCAUCCCGACUUACCAACCCUUUGCAAACUCCGAAUACCAGUAAGUACUAUCCGGGAGACACACGGCGGGUGCUAACGUCCGUCGUGGAGAGGGAAACAACCCAGACCGCCAGCUAAGGUCCCAAAUUACUACUAAGUGGGAAACGAUGUGGGAAGGCUCAGACAGCCAGGAUGUUGGCUUAGAAGCAGCCAUCAUUUAAAGAAAGCGUAAUAGCUCACUGGUCGAGUCGGCCUGCGCGGAAGAUGUAACGGGGCUAAGUAGUAAACCGAAGCUGCGGCAAUAUACUUUUGUAUAUUGGGUAGGGGAGCGUUCUGUAAGCGGUUGAAGGUGUGUGGUAACGCAUGCUGGACGUAUCAGAAGUGCGAAUGCUGACAUGAGUAACGAUAAAGGGGGUGAAAAACCUCCUCGCCGGAAGACCAAGGGUUCCUGUCCAACGUUAAUCGGGGCAGGGUAAGUCGACCCCUAAGGCGAGAGUCUUAACUGGGCGUUCAGUCUCUGGAUAUAGACCCGAAACCAGGUGAUCUAGCCAUGGGCAGGUUGAAGGUUGAGUAACAUCAACUGGAGGACCGAACCGACUAAUGUUGAAAAAUUAGCGGAUGACUUGUGGCUAGGGGUGAAAGGCCAAUCAAACCUGGAGAUAGCUGGUUCUCCCCGAAAGCUAUUUAGGUAGCGCCUCGGACGAAUACUACUGGGGGUAGAGCACUGUUAAGGCUAGGGGGUCAUCCCGACUUACCAACCCUUUGCAAACUCCGAAUACCAGUAAGUACUAUCCGGGAGACACACGGCGGGUGCUAACGUCCGUCGUGGAGAGGGAAACAACCCAGACCGCCAGCUAAGGUCCCAAAUUACUACUAAGUGGGAAACGAUGUGGGAAGGCUCAGACAGCCAGGAUGUUGGCUUAGAAGCAGCCAUCAUUUAAAGAAAGCGUAAUAGCUCACUGGUCGAGUCGGCCUGCGCGGAAGAUGUAACGGGGCUAAGUAGUAAACCGAAGCUGCGGCAAUGUGCUUUUGCACAUUGGGUAGGGGAGCGUUCUGUAAGCGGUUGAAGGUGUGUGGUAACGCAUGCUGGACGUAUCAGAAGUGCGAAUGCUGACAUGAGUAACGAUAAAGGGGGUGAAAAACCUCCUCGCCGGAAGACCAAGGGUUCCUGUCCAACGUUAAUCGGGGCAGGGUAAGUCGACCCCUAAGGCGAGGCCGAAAGGCGUAGUCGAUGGGAAACGGGUUAAUAUUCCCGUACUUCUUACAAUUGCGAUGGGGGGACGGAGAAGGCUAGGUGGGCCUGGCGACGGUUGUCCAGGUUCAAGUGCGUAGGCUUAAGAGUUAGGUAAAUCCGGCUCUUUUUAAGGCUGAGACACGACGUCGAGCUACUACGGUAGUGAAGUCAUUGAUGCCAUGCUUCCAGGAAAAGCCUCUAAGCUUCAGAUUGUAAGGAAUCGUACCCCAAACCGACACAGGUGGUCGGGUAGAGAAUACCAAGGCGCUUGAGAGAACUCGGGUGAAGGAACUAGGCAAAAUGGUACCGUAACUUCGGGAGAAGGUACGCUCUUGAUGGUGAAGUCCCUCGCGGAUGGAGCUGACGAGAGUCGCAGAUACCAGGUGGCUGCAACUGUUUAUUAAAAACACAGCACUGUGCAAAAUCGUAAGAUGACGUAUACGGUGUGACGCCUGCCCGGUGCCGGAAGGUUAAUUGAUGGGGUUAGACUUCGGUCGAAGCUCUUGAUCGAAGCCCCGGUAAACGGCGGCCGUAACUAUAACGGUCCUAAGGUAGCGAAAUUCCUUGUCGGGUAAGUUCCGACCUGCACGAAUGGCGUAAUGAUGGCCACGCUGUCUCCACCCGAGACUCAGUGAAAUUGAAAUCGCUGUGAAGAUGCAGUGUACCCGCGGCUAGACGGAAAGACCCCGUGAACCUUUACUACAGCUUGGCACUGAACAUUGACCCUACAUGUGUAGGAUAGGUGGGAGGCUUUGAAGCACGUACGCCAGUAUGUGUGGAGCCGUCCUUGAAAUACCACCCUUGUAGUGUUGAUGUUCUAACGUCGACCCCUUAUCGGGGUUGCGGACAGUGCCUGGUGGGUAGUUUGACUGGGGCGGUCUCCUCCCAAAGAGUAACGGAGGAGCACGAAGGUGGGCUAAUCACGGUUGGACAUCGUGAGGUUAGUGCAAUGGCAUAAGCCCGCUUGACUGCGAGAAUGACAAUUCGAGCAGGUGCGAAAGCAGGUCAUAGUGAUCCGGUGGUUCUGAAUGGAAGGGCCAUCGCUCAACGGAUAAAAGGUACUCCGGGGAUAACAGGCUGAUACCGCCCAAGAGUUCAUAUCGACGGCGGUGUUUGGCACCUCGAUGUCGGCUCAUCACAUCCUGGGGCUGAAGUCGGUCCCAAGGGUAUGGCUGUUCGCCAUUUAAAGUGGUACGCGAGCUGGGUUUAGAACGUCGUGAGACAGUUCGGUCCCUAUCUGCCGUGGGCGUUGGAAGAUUGAAGGGGGCUGCUCCUAGUACGAGAGGACCGGAGUGGACGAACCUCUGGUGUUCGGGUUGUGUCGCCAGACGCAUUGCCCGGUAGCUAAGUUCGGAAUCGAUAACCGCUGAAAGCAUCUAAGCGGGAAGCGAGCCCUGAGAUGAGUCUUCCCUGAUACUUUAAGUAUCCUAAAGGGUUGUCGGAGACUACGACGUUGAUAGGUCAGGUGUGUAAGUGCUGUGAGGCAUUGAGCUAACUGAUACUAAUUGCCCGUGAGGCUUAACCAUACAACACCCAAGGGGUUU
rnacentral:rRNA from 1 species